AACUUUCAACAACGGAUCUCUUGGCUCUGGCAUCGAUGAAGAACGCAGCGAAAUGCGAUAAGUAAUGUGAAUUGCAGAAUUCAAGUGAAUCAUCGAAUCUUUGAACGCACAUUGCGCCCGCCAGUAUUCUGGCGGGCAUGCCUGUCCGAGCGUCAUUU
rnacentral:rRNA from 1 species